AGAGAAAAGGGGUGAUGAUCUCUCUGGCUGCUUCCUGCUGGGCGGGGGUGUCGUAGGGCCCUGGGUUCCCAUUGCCUGCUCUCUGUCAGGGUUAUACCUAAGGAGGGGUGUUGGCCGCUUGUUCAAGUGUCCGGGUGUUGACUGGCCGAUAUUCUUGAUGCAUUGCCAUUUGGAGGUUUAUUUGUUGUAUUCUACAAGAGACAACUUUAACAAGGAGGUUAAGAAUAUAUGGAAACAUCAGGCUAUGGAGGCCCAUGAACUCGGGGGAGGGCGGGCAGCAUCACCGGAUUGUUUUCUGAAGAGACAGCAGAGGCCGUCCAGAGGUUGCCAAAGUUCUCAAGAAAAAAGCAAAAACAGAAACAAAACCACAUUUUUCAACUCUUUGCAUUCAGGCCCCAGGACUGCCCUGGUGGCAUAGUGGUUGAGUCCUCCCACCAAUGCAGGGGACGUGGGUUCAAUCCCUGAUCUGGGAAGAUCCCACAUGCCUUGGAGCUGCUAAGCCUGUGCGCCACAACUACUGAGGCUGCGCUCUAGAGUCUGCAUGCCACAACUACUGAGCCUGUGCACUGCAACUACUGAAGCCCCCGUGCCUAGAGCCGGUGCUCUGCAAAAAGAGAAGCCACCACAAUGAGAAGCCUGCACACCACAAUGAAGAGUAGCCCUCACCUGCCACAACUAGAGAAAGCCUGAGCACAGCAAUAAAGACCCAACACACCCAAAAUGAAUAAAUAAAAUAAAUAAAUUAAAAAAAAACUUUUUCUCUUGGUUUCCUCAACAUCAACUCAUCCAAGUUUAAUUCCUAUGUCUCUGGAAAUUUGCUUCUUUGUGGAAUCAUUUUCUUUCUUAUUAAAUCUUGUGACAUCUGUCCUUUGCCCUCUUUUCACGUGGCAUGAUCUGGCAACCUUCAUUACUCUUUAACUACAUUGUGGAACAAAGUUUGAGUUCAAAUCAGACUCUGUACCUUCUUGGCUGAAUGUUUUUUUCAAACA